rnacentral:rRNA from 1 species
UAAAAAAAGGUAAGCUACUAAGAGCGAAUGGUGGAUGCCUUGACUGGUAAAGGCGAUGAAGGACGUACUAGACUGCGAUAAGCUACGGGGAGCUGUCAAGAAGCUUUGAUCCGUAGAUUUCCGAAUGGGGCAACCCAAUGUAUAGAGAUAUACAUUACCUAUAUAGGAGCGAACGAGGGGAAUUGAAACAUCUUAGUACCCUCAGGAAAAGAAAUCAAUAGAGAUUGCGUCAGUAGCGGCGAGCGAAAGCGCAAGAGGGCAAACCCAGUGCUUGCACUGGGGGUUGUAGGACUGCAAUGUGCAAGAGGUAAGUUUAGCAGAACAUUCUGGAAAGUAUAACCAUAGAGGGUGAUAGUCCCGUAUGCGAAAAACAAACCUUAGCUAGCAGUAUCCUGAGUAGGGCGGGACACGAGGAAUCCUGUCUGAAUCCGGGUCGACCACGAUCCAACCCUAAAUACUAAUACCAGAUCGAUAGUGCACAAGUACCGUGAGGGAAAGGUGAAAAGAACUGAGGUGAUCAGAGUGAAAUAGAACCUGAAACCAUUUGCUUACAAUCAUUCAGAGCCCUAUGUAGCAAUACAGGGUGAUGGACUGCCUUUUGCAUAAUGAGCCUGCGAGUUGUGGUGUCUGGCAAGGUUAAGCAAACGCGAAGCCGUAGCGAAAGCGAGUCUGAAUAGGGCGCUUAGUCAGAUGCUGCAGACCCGAAACGAAGUGAUCUAUCCAUGAGCAAGUUGAAGCUAGUGUAAGAACUAGUGGAGGACUGAACCCAUAGGCGUUGAAAAGCCCCGGGAUGACUUGUGGAUAGGGGUGAAAGGCCAAUCAAACUUCGUGAUAGCUGGUUCUCUCCGAAAUAUAUUUAGGUAUAGCGUUGUGUCGUAAUAUAAGGGGGUAGAGCACUGAAUGGGCUAGGGCAUACACCAAUGUACCAAACCCUAUCAAACUCCGAAUACCUUAUAUGUAAUCACAGCAGUCAGGCGGCGAGUGAUAAAAUCCGUCGUCAAGAGGGAAACAACCCAGACUACCAGCUAAGGUCCCUAAAUCUUACUUAAGUGGAAAACGAUGUGAAGUUACUUAAACAACCAGGAGGUUGGCUUAGAAGCAGCCAUCCUUUAAAGAAAGCGUAAUAGCUCACUGGUCUAGUGAUUUUGCGCGGAAAAUAUAACGGGGCUAAAGUAAGUACCGAAGCUGUAGACUUGCACACAACUUAGAUUAUUUAAGUUUAGAAUAUGAGAAACUAAGUUAUAUGUUUAGUUAUAUUUUUACUGAUUUUUAUAGAGUAAAGAUAGAAAUAAAACUUAGUAAAAUCAGUAAAAAUAUUCUUAGACUAAAGUUAAGUAGUUUAAGUUGUGUGCAAGUGGUAGGAGAGCGUUCUAUUUGCGUCGAAGGUAUACCGGUAAGGAGUGCUGGAGCGAAUAGAAGUGAGCAUGCAGGCAUGAGUAGCGAUAAUUAAUGUGAGAAUCAUUAACGCCGUAAACCCAAGGUUUCCUACGCGAUGCUCGUCAUCGUAGGGUUAGUCGGGUCCUAAGUCGAGUCCGAAAGGGGUAGACGAUGGCAAAUUGGUUAAUAUUCCAAUACCAACAUUAGUGUGCGAUGGAAGGACGCUUAGGGCUAAGGGGGCUAGCGGAUGGAAGUGCUAGUCUAAGGUCGUAGGAGGUUAUACAGGCAAAUCCGUAUAACAAUACUCCGAGAACUGAAAGGCUUUUUGAAGUCUUCGGAUGGAUAGAAGAACCCCUGAUGCCGUCGAGCCAAGAAAAGUUUCUAAGUUUAGCUAAUGUUGCCCGUACCGUAAACCGACACAGGUGGGUGGGAUGAGUAUUCUAAGGCGCGUGGAAGAACUCUCUUUAAGGAACUCUGCAAAAUAGCACCGUAUCUUCGGUAUAAGGUGUGGUUAGCUUUGUAUUAGGAUUUACUCCGAAAGCAAGGAAACUUACAACAAAGAGUCCCUCCCGACUGUUUACCAAAAACACAGCACUCUGCUAACUCGUAAGAGGAUGUAUAGGGUGUGACGCCUGCCCGGUGCUCGAAGGUUAAUUGAUGGGGUUAGCAUUAGCGAAGCUCUUGAUCGAAGCCCGAGUAAACGGCGGCCGUAACUAUAACGGUCCUAAGGUAGCGAAAUUCCUUGUCGGUUAAAUACCGACCUGCAUGAAUGGCGUAACGAGAUGGGAGCUGUCUCAAAGAGGGAUCCAGUGAAAUUGUAGUGGAGGUGAAAAUUCCUCCUACCCGCGGCAAGACGGAGAGACCCCGUGGACCUUUACUACAGCUUGACACUGCUACUUGGAUAAGAAUGUGCAGGAUAGGUGGGAGGCUUUGAGUAUAUGACGCCAGUUGUAUAUGAGCCAUUGUUGAGAUACCACUCUUUCUUAUUUGGGUAGCUAACCAGCUUGAGUUAUCCUCAAGUGGGACAAUGUCUGGUGGGUAGUUUGACUGGGGCGGUCGCCUCCCAAAUAAUAACGGAGGCUUACAAAGGUUGGCUCAGAACGGUUGGAAAUCGUUCGUAGAGUAUAAAGGUAUAAGCCAGCUUAACUGCAAGACAUACAAGUCAAGCAGAGACGAAAGUCGGUCUUAGUGAUCCGGUGGUUCUGUGUGGAAGGGCCAUCGCUCAAAGGAUAAAAGGUACCCCGGGGAUAACAGGCUGAUCUCCCCCAAGAGCUCACAUCGACGGGGAGGUUUGGCACCUCGAUGUCGGCUCAUCGCAUCCUGGGGCUGGAGCAGGUCCCAAGGGUAUGGCUGUUCGCCAUUUAAAGCGGUACGCGAGCUGGGUUCAGAACGUCGUGAGACAGUUCGGUCCCUAUCUGCCGUGGGCGUAAGAAGAUUGAAGAGAUUUGACCCUAGUACGAGAGGACCGGGUUGAACAAACCACUGGUGUAGCUGUUGUUCUGCCAAGAGCAUCGCAGCGUAGCUAAGUUUGGAAAGGAUAAACGCUGAAAGCAUCUAAGCGUGAAGCCAACUCUAAGAUGAAUCUUCUCUAAGCUCUCUAGAAGACUACUAGUUUGAUAGGCUGGGUGUGUAAUGGAUGAAAGUCCUUUAGCUGACCAGUACUAAUAGAGCGUUUGGCUUAUCUUUAAUAAAGCAU